UACGGAGGGUGCAAGCGUUGUUCGGAAUUACUGGGCGUAAAGCGCACGCAGGUGGCUCUUUAAGUCUGACUGUGAAAUCCCGGGGCUCAACUCCGGGGCUGCAGGGGAUACUGGAGAGCUAGAGACACGUAGAGGCAAGUGGAAUUCCGGGUGUAGCGGUGGAAUGCGUAGAGAUCCGGAAGAACACCAGAGGCGAAGGCGGCUUGCUGGGCGUGAUCUGACACUGAGGUGCGAAAGCGUGGGGAGCGAACAGG
rnacentral:misc_RNA from 1 species